UUUCAUAGUGCUUCAUACCAUGCGCAUUGCAAAGGAAUAUCAGUACUUGCUGAUUAAGGGAUCUUGAUGCAAAUUGGAUCUGUGACUAGCUUUGUUCAGUCCAGCUAAAGGAUGAUCCCAAUGCCAAGGAUGCACUUUCCCUGAGAAGCACUGUACAAAGGAGAUGUCUCAGUGCCUGAAUUCUCUUCCCCAUUAGAAACUGGAAAGCUCUCCCUUUGUGAAACACCCAUCUGCAAUCUGCAUCCUACUAGGGAGCCUGCUCGUUCCUACAGCUCCAGCCUUGAUCUCACCAGUAAGCACUGAUGUUUUCCAAAAGGAGAAGGAAGGAAUUCUGAAACCGAAGUGAAACAAAAUUGUUUAAACCUCUCAGAGGAAUGAGAUUAGCUGUCUUUUGCAAAACUAGCUGCACUCCUGCAACUAACAAGCCAAACACAUCAACACCAAAUUUACCUGCCACUUCUGAGUUCUACUGUACUGGGAAGCAAGAAGCACUUGGCAGUAUGAAUCACUGUCAAGGAACAAUGGCAUUGGCAAAGGCAUGGUGACAGACCUACUGCUGGGGAUGGCCCUGCUGUGAGAAGGAGACUGGACUGAAAAUGCCCUGUCAGAAACACAUCUGUGAGUCCACACUCAGUUGAAGAAGAUAAACGUGUGGUUAACUCACCGUGAGUCUGUACCUCAAAUCCCCUCUCGUAACUCAAGCACCGUGGGACUCAGACUUCUAGGAUCUCUCUUUACAGCUUCCAAAUGAUGCCAUGAGGUUCCAGUGGCUGACAUACCACGUGGUCUGUGGAGGAUAUCUGGUUGCACCUUCCCCACCAUGAGGUAUGAAACUUUCUAGAACAUCUUUAGAUUGGUUGGAGUUGAGUUUUGGGUCUAUAGUUGCAUCCUUCAAGAGUCCUCAUGCGUCACACCGUCCAUGGCAUCUCGAGGUUCACAUUGUAACACAGUUAGGGAAUUGUAUAACCAAAGCAAAAGUUUGAGUUACCCAUGAAUUAUAAAUGCACUGAGCAGGAUGUAACUAAUAUCAUCGUUUCUUAAACACAUGUAUAAGCAUACUCAACUACUGUACUGCAAACAGUAUCCAGUAACUUUGUAAUACUGUGAUGGCACAGCCAGACACUCUUUGUGGUUAAGUAUGUGAACCGUGUAAUCUACAAAGGGGCAAAGUUAGGUGCAGGUUCAGAAUAAAGGCUUUCAAGUAGCUAAAUCUUGCCA
rnacentral:lncRNA from 1 species